rnacentral:rRNA from 1 species
CACGUAGUUAGCCGUCCCUUUCUGGUAAGAUACCGUCACAGUGUGAACUUUCCACUCUCACACUCGUUCUUCUCUUACAACAGAGCUUUACGAUCCGAAAACCUUCUUCACUCACGCGGCGUUGCUCGGUCAGACUUCCGUCCAUUGCCGAAGAUUCCCUACUGCUGCCUCCCGUAGGAGUCCGGGCCGUGUCUCAGUCCCAGUGUGGCCGAUUACCCUCUCAGGUCGGCUAUGUAUCGUCGCCUUGGUAAGCCGUUACCCCACCAACUAGCUAAUACAACGCAGGUCCAUCUGGUAGUGGUGCAAUUGCACCUUUUAAGAAAUGUCAUGCAACAUCUACUCUUAUGCGGUAUUAGCUAUCGUUUCCAAUAGUUACUCCCCCGCUACCAGGCAGGUUACCUACGCGUUACUCCACCCGUUCGCAACUCAUCCAGAGAAGUAAGCCUCCUCCUUCAGCGUUCUACUUGCAUGUAUUAGGCACGGCCGCCAGCGUUCGUCCUCGAGCCAGGACUAC